UACGGAGGGGGCUAGCGUUGUUCGGAAUUACUGGGCGUAAAGCGCACGUAGGCGGCUUUGCAAGUCAGAGGUGAAAGCCCGGGGCUCAACCCCGGAAUUGCCUUUGAGACUGGAUCGCUAGAAUUGUGGAGAGGUAAGUGGAAUUCCGAGUGUAGAGGUGAAAUUCGUAGAUAUUCGGAAGAACACCAGUGGCGAAGGCGACUUACUGGACACAUAUUGACGCUGAGGUGCGAAAGCGUGGGGAGCAAACAGG
rnacentral:rRNA from 1 species